GCUGUGUCCUGGCAGCCACGUUCCCCCGUGGCCAGUCCUGAGAGCCAGGUGCAGCCCUCACUUUCUCCCGGAGCAGAGAAGGGGCCGUGGGAUAUGAUCCUGUCGCCCGCCCUGAGCGUGUGGAACUACGGCCCAGGACCACCCGCCAGCUUCCCUCACAAUCCUGGCGCACGUGCGGAUCUGCGGCUCCUCGACUGAGCGACGAUGGUGUCGUGAAUACUGCUACGCCUGAGGUUCGGUCUCCCGCAGUGCAAAGCCCACAAAACUGGAGGCCCCAUUGGCUGAGGCCAGUAGCUGUUGGGCAAUCAAGCGCUCAUAAAGUGACCUAAGGACAAGAAGGAUUCCUAUGUCCAGACACCUCCGGAUACUCCCAUGGAAGCGGGCCAGUGUGACGUGGAACAGGCUCUGGACUGGGAGUCCAAAGAGCAAAAGUCUAAGCCUGUUCUUCGUCUGAUUUUCCGGAUGUUCCUACACAGGGCCUAACACAUCUAUCAGACUCUCCUAAAUGCUCGACACUGUGGGUGCCCCAGGUUGCCCACAGCACCCUGGCAUGAAUCCAUUAUCCUCACCUUCUGGAUAAGGACGGUGAGGUUCAGCAAGGUCAGACAGCUCAUCCAGGGCCACACGGAUGGAGUUCAGCCCCUGGACUCCGAUUCCUUCUCUCUGCAAGCUGAAGAUACCUCCUUGGGCCCAUGCUUUCCCAGUAAGGAAGUGAGCAACAGGAAGGGCCACAGAAGAGAGCCUUACAAGCCCUUCCUCCCUCCCAGAUGUCUUUUCUUUGAUCUAUGUGUUAUGUUUCAUUGUAAUCAAAUUUAUUGCAACUUUUUUUUUAAAUCAGGGAAUUUAAUCUAAAAUCUGGAUUUCUCCUUUGUCAUGAAAAAGAGCCUGGCAGGGGCCAGCGCUGCACCCUAGCAGGUAAAGCCAGUGCCUGCAGUGCCAGCAUCCCAUAUGAGCGCCGGUUUGAGUCCUGGCUGCUCCACCUCCUACCCAGCUCUCUGCUAUGGCCUGGGAAAGCAGUAGAAGAUGGCCCAAGUCCUUGGUCCCCUGCACCCACAUGGGAGACCCGGAAGAAGUCCCUGGCUCCUGGCUUCGCAUUGGCGCAGCUCCAGCCGUUGCGGCCAUUUGGGGAGUGAACCAGUGGAUAGAAGACUUCUCUCUCUCCACCUCUCCUCUCUCUGUGUAAUUUCAAAUAAGUAAAUGAAUCUAAAAAAAAAAAAAAA